rnacentral:misc_RNA from 1 species
CUUUAUUAUUAAUUUCAGUAAUUAUAUUGAAAUCAGUAACAAGUUCAAAAUGUUGCAUAUUUGAGUUACAAAAGUGUUAAAGAAGAUUGAUGAUAAUACAGGAGAAUCUAGCAUCAUCACUAAAUAUUUAGCACUAAAUCAAGUAAAAAAUAUUCAUAAAACCAAACACAUGAAGUCGGGAUUCGUUAGUUGAAUUGAAUAAAGGUCCAGUGGAGGUCGCUUACUGAAUCCAAUGCUUCCAUGCCUCAUUGAGCCGUAUGAGGGACAUGAUACUAACCAUUGGUGUUAAAAAAUGGGACCGUUCUAGCCAAUUCAAUUUAAAAAUGGAGAAGGAAACGGCUAAGGAAAACACAUUCUCAUAUUAAACGUGCUUUCUAGCCAUUAGAUGAAUAUUUUUACCCAAAUGCAAUAUGAUUGACUCGAGUUCACCAUGAGAAUGAGAAUAAUGAUGCCUAAUCGUUCCAUAGACAAAACUCCUAGCAGAUCUCAAGAAGGAAUUGCUAUCAUAAUCAUGGUUGAGCAUUAGAUGGUACAAGAUCAAGAGCAUGCCCAGCAUUUCCGAUUAGCGUUUGUCUUUUUUUCUUAGCCUGCUGUUUCUCUAAUUUUCUCUUAGCUUCAGAUUUGGCAAAGAACUCCCUCCAUUCAUCAGUUAGAACAAAAAUUGGGUCCCCGUCCUCUUCUUCUUCCUCUUCUGAUACAUUGUGGCCAGGCUCUUGCAAUACCUGGGUGAUGGAGGCAGUUUCUUUGUGCGCAUCAGCCAAGUCGUUUAGCGGUGGAUAAGAACCGAUAAGUUCUGGGCCUCUCAGAGGAUGCGGGGCAAACCUAGGGCAUACAAGGCAAUGGCAAUUAUAAUGGUGGUGAUGGUAGUGGUUGUGGGAAGGGCAGAAGUGGUGGUGGCACUGGUGGUGG